GGGGAAUUAGCUUAAAAUGGUAGAGCCUUCGCUUAGCAUGCGAAAGUCACGGGGAUCGAUACUCCGAUUCCCCA